GUCAUAAGUUCACACGAAUCUGCUGAUGACGUUUCACAUGGACAGACAACUACGCAUUAUUGUAUUUUUAAUUGUAUUUUUUGCGUGUGUUAUUUUUAUUUAAUUAUUAUGAAAAUCAUGGUCAUUAUUAUUGAGCCUUGGCUGGCAGUCUGUUUUGAAUUUGUUUUAUUGAAAAAACAAACACACAACGCUUAUUGUGUUGCGCCUGCGCAGUGACUUUCUUUUCCAACCGCCUUUCCAGUCAAGAGGACGUGACGAAUGUUCCUGUCUGCAUCAGCUAUCCAUCUGAAAAAGAAAAGCUGGCACUCUCAAAGGAGAUUGUGUUUUUGGAUUAUGGUCUCAUUUGGUCAAAAAGAGGGACAUGUACCGAGCAUUUUUUUUUUUUUUUUUUUUUUUUUUUUUGAUGGGCCAUCACACAGUGGAUUUAUAAAAAUGAGAUUACAGAACAUCAGACGGUAGCUUCAACAGAGUUGAAGUGGGAGGACAUCAUCAAUUAAGAAUGCCAUUGACCAAACCUUCAGUCAUCAAAGAAGAUGGAUACAGGGGGACAUCCAGUUUUCCAGACUUACCGAUGGGAAAGAAGAAAUGGGAAUGUGACAAUUAUUGAGAAACUCGGAAAAAGCAUCUUUAGAGAAGAAAAUGGACAUCAGACAUUUAUUGAAGAAAGCUGACAGUCAACAUAAUGAUGAGAGCUGUGUUAUACAAUGUUAAGGAUACUCGUUCAUCUUCUGCUGUGUGAAUUCUGCUGUGUCAGACCUGUGGGACUUGAUGCCGGCUGGUAGCAGUGUGACGUCUUUGCUUACUAAAUGAUCAAAGGGUGUCUGAAAUCAGCUCAGCCACAGUUGGUUUCCAACGGUUCUUCAGGACAUGGAGGCCACUACGUAACUGUUGCAAUGAACGAUUCUUUUGCCUUUCCACCUGAUGUUGACAAUCUGACCUGUGCGGUACUGAAAACCACUUGCACUGACAUAUCUUAAAAUAUAUCAGUGUCCUUUGUUUUGCCUCAAAAUGCACACCAGUAAUGUUUUUUGUUGAAACCAGUUAUAUUUCCUAAUUAAACUAAGGCCUAGUCCUGGAUUAAGCUAAUCCACUGUCCGGGAAACCGCCCCUAAAUGUUUUGUGACGGAAAUUUCUUUGAAUACACUUGUCAAGUUCAUUUUAAGUAUUUUUCUAAAUGUAAGAUAACAUGUUAAUGUUUCAGGACAAGUUAAAAAAUUUUGAUAAUUUGCAUGUUGGAAACGAUUUCAGACAUUGUUCUAUUCAACAUGUUUAGCACAGUUGCUUUUAAAUUCAAUGAAUUAUUUUAUAAAUAGUGUUUUAAAACGUAUCAAUGUAAUGUAUGUUUGAAGUUAUUAUACUUGCACUUACAUUUAUUUAAAUUAGCAUACAUCUAGCAACAUAGAGUACUAGCAUAUUUUCAUGC